GACGGAGGAUGCAAGCGUUAUCCGGAAUUAUUGGGCGUAAAGCGUCCGCAGGUGGCCUAUCCAGUCUGCUGUCAAAGACCGGGGCUUAACCCCAGAAAGGCAGUGGAAACUGAAAGGCUAGAGGAUGGUAGGGGCAGAGGGAAUUCCCAGUGUAGCGGUGAAAUGCGUAGAGAUCGGGAAGAACACCGGUGGCGAAAGCGCUCUGCUGGGCCAUAACUGACACUCAGGGACGAAAGCUAGGGGAGCGAAUGGG
rnacentral:rRNA from 1 species